rnacentral:rRNA from 1 species
UAGCGUAGGGGGCAAGCGUCGUCCGGAAUCGAUUGGGCGUAAAGCGCACGUAGGCGGCCCGGUAAGUCCGUUGUGAAAGUCAGAGGCUCAACCUCUGGAGGCCAAUGGAUACUGCCGGGCUAGAGUCCGGAAGAGGCGAGUGGAAUUCCUGGUGUAGCGGUGGAAUGCGCAGAUAUCAGGAGGAACACCAAUGGCGAAGGCAGCUCGCUGGGACGGUACUGACGCUGAGGUGCGAAAGCGUGGGGAGCGAACGGG